rnacentral:tRNA from 1 species
GGGGUUGUGGCUCAGUGGUGGAGCACUUGCCUAGCACGCGUGAAGCACUGAGUUCAAUUCUCAGCACCACA